AUUGAACGCUGGCGGCAGGCCUAACACCUGCAAGUCGAACGAGUGGCGGACGGGUGAGUAAUGUCUGGGAAACUGCCUGAUGGAGGGGGAUAACUACUGGAAACGGUAGCUAAUACCGCAUACCAUCGGAUGUGCCCAGAUGGGCUUAGCUAGUAGGGGGGGUAAAGGCUCACCUAGGCGAAGCUCCCUAGCUGGUCUGAGAGGAUGACCAGCCAACCUGGAACGGAGACACGGUCCAGACGCCUACGGGAGGCAGCAGUGGGGAAUAUUGCACAAUGGGCGCAAGCCUGAUGCAGCCAGGCCGCGUGGAUGAAGAAGGCCGUCGGGUUGGAAAGUACUUUCAGCGGGGAGGCGUUACCCGCAGAAGAAGCACCGGCUAACUCCGGGCCAGCAGCCGCGGUAAUAC
rnacentral:rRNA from 1 species